rnacentral:rRNA from 1 species
GGGAGGAGCAGUGGGGAAUUUUGGACAAUGGGCGAAAGCCUGAUCCAGCAAUGCCGCGUGCAGGACGAAGGCCUUCGGGUUGUAAACUGCUUUUGUACGGAACGAAAAGGUAGCUCCUAAUACGAGCUGCUGAUGACGGUACCGUAAGAAUAAGCACCGGCUAACUACGUGCCAGCAGCCG